CAGUCGCCGCGGUAAUACGAAGGGUGCAAGCGUUAAUCGGAAUUACUGGGCGUAAAGCGUGCGUAGGCGGUUUGUUAAGUCUGCUGUGAAAUCCCCGGGCUCAACCUGGGAAUGGCAGUGGAUACUGGCAAGCUAGAGUGUGUCAGAGGAUGGUGGAAUUCCCGGUGUAGCGGUGAAAUGCGUAGAGAUCGGGAGGAACAUCAGUGGCGAAGGCGGCCAUCUGGGACAACACUGACGCUGAGGCACGAAAGCGUGGGGAGCAAACAGGAUAGAUACCCGCGUAGUCCCUGUCUCUUAUACA
rnacentral:rRNA from 1 species